UUUACAUGUAUCCCUGAUCUUGACACCUUUUGAUCAGACUUCAUAUCUCUAUCUACUCUUUACUUUUUUACUUGUCUCAGUCAUUUGACUGUGGCCAUGCUGGAGCACCGCCUUUAGUCGAGCAAAUCGACCCCAGGACUUAUUCUUUGUAAGCCUAGUACUUAUU